UCGAGAAUCUUUCGCAAUGCCCGAAAGGGUGACGAAGCGACGCCGCGUGCGGGAAGAAGGCCUUCGGGUUGUAAACCGCUGUCGGGAGUUAAGAAAUGCAAGGAUAUUAAUAGUGUCUUUGCUUGACUAAGGCUCCGGAGGAAGCCACGGCUAACUCUGUGCCAGCAGCCGCGGUAAUACAGAGGCGGCAAGCGUUGUUCGGAAUUAUUGGGCGUAAAGAGCACGUAGGCGGCUAUGUAAGUCGGUUGUGAAAGCCUUCCGCUCAACGGGAGAACAGCAUCCGAUACUGCAUGGCUUGAGUGCGGGAGGGGAGAGUGGAACUUCUGGUGGAGCGGUGAAAUGCGUAGAUAUCAGAAGGAACGCCGGCGGCGAAAGCGGCUCGUCUGGCCCGUAACUGACGCU
rnacentral:rRNA from 1 species